UGUACUGUAUAGUUUCUGCUCGGGCGGUAAAUUAACAGUCGUUCUGUUGGCGGGAGUUGCUGAAAGUUUGGCAGGAAGGAUGGAUUAAAAUCCGUGUGCAUCAUCCGGAUCAGAUUUGCAUUAUUGCAGCUUUCGAGAUUGAGGCUGAUCGGACGCAAGAUGCUUUCCCCCGGUGUGGGAUCUCAUAGGCCACCACCCCGGAACCCAAGGUCUUAAAUGCCAGGUUCGCACGGCGUCUUGAUGAUUAAGUGUCCCGCCUGUGUUUUGUGUUGCGGUUAAGAUAUGUCCACAUAGCUUAACAAUACUUUAAAAUGAGA